UAUUGUAUAAUAAAAUACAUUUUUAAAAAAAUGGAUGAAGAACCUGAAAGAACUAAACGAUGGGAAGGAGGCUAUGAAAGAACAUGGGAGAUCCUUAAAGAAGAUGAGUCUGGAUCACCUAAAGCUACAAUAGAAGAUAUUCUGUUCAAAGCAAAGAGGAAAAGAGUAUUUGAGCACCGUGGACAAGUUCGACUUGGAAUGAUGUGCCACCUUUAUGUGGUAGUAGAUGGAUUAAGAACAAUGGAAGACCAAGAUUUGAAGCCCAAUAGACUGACAUGUACUUUAAAGUUGCUGGAAUACUUCGUAGAGGAAUAUUUUGAUCAAAAUCCUAUUAGUCAGAUUGGAAUAAUUGUAAUUAAGAGUAAAAGAGCUGAAAAACUUACUGAACUCUCAGGAAACCCAAGGAAACACAUAGCAUCCCUGAAGAAAGCUGUAGAUAUGACCUGCCAUGGAGAACCAUCUCUUUAUAAUUCCUUAAGCAUAGCUGUGCAAACUCUAAAACACAUGCCUAGACAUACAAGUAGAGAAGUCCUAAUCAUCUUCAGCAGCCUUACAACUUGUGAUCCAUCUAAUAUUUAUGAUCUAAUCAAGACCCUAAAGGCAGCUAAAAUUAGAGUGUCUGUUAUUGGAUUGUCUGCAGAGGUUCGAGUUUGCACUGUACUUGCUCGUGAAACUGGUGGCACAUACCAUGUUAUUUUAGAUGAAAGCCAUUACAAAGAAUUACUAACACAUCGUGUUAGUCCUCCACCUGCCAGCUCAAGUUCUGAAUGCUCACUUAUUCGUAUGGGAUUUCCUCAGCACAUCAUUGCUUCUUUGUCUGAUUAAGAUGCAAAACCCUCUUUCAGCAUAGUGCAUUUGGAUAGCAAUACUGAGCCAGGGCUUACAUUAGGAGGUUAUUUCUGUCCACAGUGUCGGGCAAAGUACUGUGAGCUACCUGUUGAAUGUAAAAUCUGUGGUCUUACUUUGGUGUCAGCUCUGCGUUUGGCACAAUCUUACCAUCAUUUAUUUCCUUUGGAUGCUUUUCAAGAAAUUUCCCUAGAAGAAUAUAGUGGAGAAAGAUUUUGUUAUGGAUGUCAGGGGGAAUUGAAAGACCAACACGUCUAUAUUUGCACUGUGUGCCAAAAUGUUUUCUGUGUGGACUGUGAUGUUUUUGUUCAUGAUUCUCUACACUGUUGUCCUGGCUGUAUUCAUAAGAUUCCAAGUCAUUCAGGUAUUUGA